GAUGAACGCUGGCGGCGUGCCUAAUACAUGCAAGUCGAGCGAACGGACGAGAAGCUUGCUUCUCUGAUGUUAGCGGCGGACGGGUGAGUAACACGUGGAUAACCUACCUAUAAGACUGGGAUAACUUCGGGAAACCGGAGCUAAUACCGGAUAAUAUUUUGAACCGCAUGGUUCAAAAGUGAAAGACGGUCUUGCUGUCACUUAUAGAUGGAUCCGCGCUGCAUUAGCUAGUUGGUAAGGUAACGGCUUACCAAGGCAACGAUGCAUAGCCGACCUGAGAGGGUGAUCGGCCACACUGGAACUGAGACACGGUCCAGACGCCUACGGGAGGCAGCAGUAGGGAAUCUUCCGCAAUGGGCGAAAGCCUGGCGGAGCAACGCCGCGUGAGUGAUGAAGGUCUUCGGAUCGUAAAACUCUGUUAUUAGGGAAGAACAUAUGUGUAAGUAACUGUGCACAUCUUGACGGUACCUAAUCAGAAAGCCACGGCUAACUACGUG
rnacentral:rRNA from 1 species